rnacentral:rRNA from 1 species
GGGGAAUUUUCCGCAAUGGGCGAAAGCCUGACGGAGCAAGACCGCGUGGGGGAAGAAGGCUCUUGGGUUGUAAACCCCUUUUCUCUGGGAAGAAAGUUGUGAAAGCAACCUGACGGUACCAGAGGAAUCAGCAUCGGCUAACUCCGUGCCAGCAGCCGCGGUAAGACGGAGGAUGCAAGCGUUAUCCGGAAUGAUUGGGCGUAAAGCGUCCGCAGGUGGCAGUUCAAGUCUGCUGUCAAAGACCGGGGCUUAACUUCGGAAAGGCAGUGGAAACUGAACAGCUAGAGUAUGGUAGGGGCAGAGGGAAUUCCUGGUGUAGCGGUGAAAUGCGUAGAGAUCAGGAAGAACAUCGGUGGCGAAGGCGCUCUGCUGGACCAUAACUGACACUCAGGGACGAAAGCUAGGGGAGCGAA